GCAUCGUACUAUUGACGGGAGGCUCCCCCAACUAGACGCUGUAACACUGGCAUAUUGGCAUCGCGCCGCGAGAGAGGCCUCUCUCAGCGGACACGGGCAUCGCGCCGUGAGGAAGGCCCUCCUCAGCGGACACGGCAUCGUACUGUUGAGGGAGGCCUCCCCCAACAGACGCAAGCAUCAAACAUAAGCAUAAACUUAUCAGCGUAAAGCAUUCAAGCGUAAAUAAGCGUAAUCAUUUAACGUGCAUCAUAAUAAAGCUUAACUCAUUUAAGCGUAAUAAAGCAUACCAUACUUGAAGAUCCAAUUUGCAUUUUAAAGCAUAACAUUUGCAUAGCAUUUUAUUUACGCGUAAGGAAUUGCCCACCUCAAUUGUUCUUAAAGCUGGCGUGGAGUCGUUUCUUCUUCGGCUUCACUUUCUGUCGCCCGGACCUUCAUUGAUGAAGAGUCGAU
rnacentral:lncRNA from 1 species